rnacentral:rRNA from 1 species
GAGGAUUUGAUCCUGGUCCAGGAUGAACGCUGGCGGCGUGGAUAAGGCAUGCAAGUAGAACGGACGUAGCAGCCAGCUUCCAGCUACUAGCUUCCAGCCCGGAUGAUAUAAUGGCAAGUAUGUCUUUCCGUUACAGAGAUUUCCGUGUGUACAAAGAGGCGAUUAGUUUUCAUCGCUUGAUAGUACAACUCACACGAAAAUUUUCUAAAGAGUUUGAGUACUUACGGAAUCAAAUGAGACGAAGUUCUUUAUCGGUAGUGUUAAAUGUUGCUGAAGGGUCAGCGAAAAACUCUGAUAAAGAUUUCCGAAGAUACCUGACAAUAUCAUUAGGUUCGAUCAACGAAUCUAUGGCUGGUUGUGAAGUAGCGUUAGCUGAGCAUCUCAUUGUACAAAGUGAGUUUCAUCAGGCUGAGAAGGCUGCGGAGAACUUGGUAAAGCAACUCGGCAGUUUUGUUCAGAAAUUGAAGUAGCUGUUGGCUGGUGGCUGGCAGCUGGUUGCUAUGUUAGUUGCGAACGAGUUAGUAACACCCUGGUACGUACCCCAGAGUCGGAGAUAGCUCAUAGAAAGGUGAGGUAAUAUCCGAUGGUCCGUCCUUCGCUUUUUGCUCCGCAAAAAGCUUCGGAACGGCAGGCCCGCAAGAGCUUGCCAGUCCGUAGCUCUUUACGAAGUAAAGAGCGUAGGAUGGUAAAGUCGCAAGACGCUCUGGGAUCGGCCUAGGUCCGAUCAGCUAGUUGGUAGGGUAAUGGCCUACCAAGGCGAUGACCGGUAGGGGAGGUGAGAGCCUGACCCCCAAC